rnacentral:rRNA from 1 species
AGUGAACGCUGGCGGUAGGCCUAACACAUGCAAGUCGAACGGCAGCACAGUAAGAGCUUGCUCUUACGGGUGGCGAGUGGCGGACGGGUGAGGAAUACAUCGGAAUCUACUUUUUCGUGGGGGAUAACGUAGGGAAACUUACGCUAAUACCGCAUACGACCUACGGGUGAAAGCAGGGGAUCUUCGGACCUUGCGCGAUUGAAUGAGCCGAUGUCGGAUUAGCUAGUUGGCGGGGUAAAGGCCCACCAAGGCGACGAUCCGUAGCUGGUCUGAGAGGAUGAUCCGCCACACCGGAACUGGGGCACGGUUCCGGCUCCUUCGGGAGGCAGCCGUGGGGAAUAUUUGACAAUUGGCGCAAGCCUGAUCCAGCCAUACCGCGUGGGUGAAGAAGGCCUUCGGGUUGUAAAGCCCUUUUGUUGGGAAAGAAAAGCAGCAGGUUAAUACCCCGCUGUUCUGACGGUACCCAAAGAAUAAGCACCGGCUAACUUCGUG